UACGUAGGGUCCGAGCGUUGUCCGGAAUUAUUGGGCGUAAAGAGCUCGUAGGCGGUUUGUCACGUCUGCUGUGAAAACUGGAGGCUCAACCUCUAGCCUGCAGUGGGUACGGGCAGACUAGAGUGCGGUAGGGGAGAAUGGAAUUCCUGGUGUAGCGGUGGAAUGCGCAGAUAUCAGGAGGAACACCGAUGGCGAAGGCAGUUCUCUGGGCCGUAACUGACGCUGAGGAGCGAAAGCGUGGGGAGCGAACAGG
rnacentral:rRNA from 1 species